rnacentral:rRNA from 1 species
AGAAUCAACGCUGGCGGCGUGCCUAACACAUGCAAGUCGAACGAGAAAGUGGAGCAAUCCAUUAGUAAAGUGGCGCACGGGUGAGUAACACGUGACUAACCUACCCUUGAGUGGGGGAUAACCUAGGGAAACCUGGGCUAAUACCGCAUAAUACCUUCGGGUCAAAGGAGCAAUUCGCUUAAGGAGGGGGUCGCGGCCGAUUAGUUAGUUGGCGGGGUAAUGGCCCACCAAGACGUAUGAUCGGUAUCCGGCCUGAGAGGGCGCACGGACACACUGGAACUGAAACACGGUCCAGACUCCUACGGGAGGCAGCAGUGGGGAAUUUUGCGCAAUGGGGGAAACCCUGACGCAGCAACGCCGCGUGGAGGAUGAAGUCCCUUGGGACGUAAACUCCUUUCGAUCGGGACGAUAAUGACGGUACCGAGAGAAGAAGCCCGGCUAACUUCGCGCCAGCAGCCGC